GACGAACGCUGGCGGCGUGCCUAAUACAUGCAAGUAGAACGCUGAAGGAGGAGCUUGCUUCUCCGGAUGAGUUGCGAACGGGUGAGUAACGCGUGGGUAACCUGCCUGGUAGCGGGGGAUAACUAUUGGAAACGAUAGCUAAUACCGCAUAACAGUAGAUAUUGCAUGAUAUCUGCUUGAAAGGUGCAAUUGCAUCACUACCAGAUGGACCUGCGUUGUAUUAGCUAGUUGGUGGGGUAACGGCUCACCAAGGCGACGAUACAUAGCCGACCUGAGAGGGUGAUCGGCCACACUGGGACUGAGACACGGCCCAGACUCCUACGGGAGGCAGCAGUAGGGAAUCUUCGGCAAUGGACGGAAGUCUGACCGAGCAACGCCGCGUGAGUGAAGAAGGUUUUCGGAUCGUAAAGCUCUGUUGUAAGAGAAGAACGAGUGUGAGAGUGGAAAGUUCACACUGUGACGGUAUCUUACCAGAAAGGGACGGCUAACUACGUGCCAGCAGCCGCGGUAAUACGUAGGUCCCGAGCGUUGUCCGGAUUUAUUGGGCGUAAAGCGAGCGCAGGCGGUUAGAUAAGUCUGAAGUUAAAGGCUGUGGCUUAACCAUAGUACGCUUUGGAAACUGUUUAACUUGAGUGCAAGAGGGGAGAGUGGAAUUCCAUGUGUAGCGGUGAAAUGCGUAGAUAUAUGGAGGAACACCGGUGGCGAAAGCGGCUCUCUGGCUUGUAACUGACGCUGAGGCUCGAAAGCGUGGGGAGCAAACAGG
rnacentral:rRNA from 1 species